ACUAGGCAGUUGCUCUUCAUUUUCUCUUCCCCUCAGCUUCUGAUAACUACCAGUCUGCUUUCUGUCUCUUACAUCUACCAAUUCUGAAUAUUUCACCUGAAUAGACUCUUAAGAUAUGUGGUCUUUGGGGUUUGGCCCCUUGAACGUACCGUGGUGUUUUUGAGGUUCGUCCAUGUUGCAGCAGAUAUUAGUACUUCGUUACUUUUUAUUUUAUAGGAAUAUUAUCCUAUUUUGUGGCUGUAUCAUAUGUUUACCCAUUCAUAGUUGUUGGAUAUUUAGGUCGUUUCUAAUUUUUGGCUAUGGUGAAUACUGGUACUAAGAACAUUUAUGAACAAGUUUUUGUGUGGACAUAUGUUUCCAUUGCUUUAAGUGCCUAUUUAGGAGUGGAAUUACUCGGUCUCAUAAUAAUUCUCUACUGUGUAUAACUGUUUUAGGAACUGUGAGAUUAUUUUCCAAAGAAGCUGUGUCAUUUUAUUUCCUAACAGCAGAGUUAUGAGGAUUCCACUUUUUCACAUUCCUGUCAACACUUGUUAUUGUCUGUAGUUGUCUUAGUGGGUAUGAAGUGGUGUCUUUGUUAUCUUGGUUUGCACUCCCUGAUGGCUAAUGAUAUUGCGUAUCUCUUUAUAUGCUUUUUGGACAUUUGCAUAUCUUUUAUGGAGAAAUACAUGUUAAAUUCCUUGCCCAUUUUAAAAGUGGGAUACUUAUCUUUUUAUUACUGAGUAGCAAGAGGUUUUUAUUUUUUUAAGCAUAUGUUCCAGAGGCACAUCCCUCAUCAAUAGAUGAUUUGCAGGUAUUUUCUCCUAUUCUGUGGGUUAUAUUUUCACUUAGCCUUUGAAGCACAAAGGUUUUUAGUUUUGAUGAAGUCCAGUUUAUGUAUUUUUUCAUAAAUAGUGUCACAUCUAAGAAGACCUAACCAAACACUUAAGUCUUAAAGAUUUACUCCAGGAGUUCCUGUUGUGACACACAAGACCGGAUCCUUAACCCACUGAGCGAGGCCAGGGAUCAAACCUGCGUUUUCACAGAUACUAGUGGGUUCAUUACCACUGAGCCACAAUGGGAACUUCCGGAGCUUGGUUUUUAAAAAUGAAGUUUAACGUUGUAGUUAUUUGUCCAUCUCCUCUAAGCUUACAGAUUUGUUCCUCAAGUGGUGAAGACAUAAAUUUCAUAUAGCCAACUGUCUGGGACACUUUAAAAAAUUAGAGUCUUUUGCAGGUUGUGUUGAAUAUUAAGUAAAUGUAUUCUUGCUUUGUAUUAAAAACAGAAAGGACUCUGCUAUUGCCAGGAUGAGAAUUCUUGUGGAAGUCUUCUUGAAUUGAUGAAUAUGUAAGAGGACAUUUUUAUGAAGAUCAGUACAAGCUGUUUUCCAAGGAGAGUCUGGGGAAAUAUUUUUGCAACUUGAACAGCAUGAAUGCAGCAAGUUGAAUUAUUUGGGGGCUGCUUUGGCCAGCACACUGAUGCCCAGAAAAUGCCUGGGCUGAUAGCUCGCCAGAAGCACGUUUGACCUAAUAAAGGAGGAACCAAACCAACUGACCCCUCACUGCCAAUUUCAGUUUCUAUUCGACUUAAUCCUAAAAACUAGAGCAUAAAUAGGUAACAGCCUACAAACUCAGUUCCAGAAAGAACAGAAACAUCUACCAUUAUCCCUCUCGGUGUAAUGUAGUUCCUUUCUAAAUCUUCAUUGAUGAUGAUAAAUAAAACGGCAUUAAGGAGUUCCUGUUAUGGCUCAGCAGGUUGAGAAUCCGACUAGUAUUCAUGAGGAUGUGGGCUCAGUCCCUGGCCUUGCUCAGUGGGUGAAGGAUACAGCAUUGCCGCAAGCUGCAGCAUAGAUUGCAGAUGUGGCUUGGAUCUGGUGUUGCUGUGGCUGUGGUGUAGGCCAGCAGCUGUAGCUCUGAUUUGACCCCUGGCCUGGGAGCUUCCAUAUGCCUCAGGCAUGGCCUUGAAAAGAAAAGGAGGAAAAAAGGCAUUAAAAUUUGAGUCUUUCUGAUUUCAGAAGAUUUAUGCCUGGCAGGUAUGACACUUUCAAACUCACACCAAAUGCGUGAGCUGUGAUUUUUAUUAAGAAUUGUCUGCGACUGUCUUCUUGUAGAGGUUUCUUUUUUGAAGAAGAAGACCACUUUAUGUAUGAUUCUUUGUCUUAUGUGAUUUCCCUCAAGGGAAGAUAUGGUCAGUGGAUUUAAUUGAAUUAAUGCUCUUCUGUGAUGUUUUUGUGUUCCUGGUUAUCUCAGUGGACAUUGUGAGGGCACGUCUUGACAGUAAUGUAUUCACUGUCAAUAAAAUCUUUGUUGAGUAUUUUAAAGUUAAGAGAAUUUAUUUUUAUCCUACUAGUAAUGACUACCUUUUAUUUAAAGAAGUGAAAAUAGGAGUUCCCUUCGUGGCUCAGUGGUUAACGAACCCAGCUAGGAUCCAUGAGGAUGUGGGUUCGAUCCCUGGCCUUGCUCGGUGUGUUAAGGAUGCUGCGUUGCCAUGAGCUGUGGUGCAGGUCGCAGAUGCAGCUCGGAUCCCAAGUUGCUGUGGCUGUGGUGUAGGCUGGCAGGUAUAGCUUGAAUUCGACCCCUAGCCUGGGAACUUACAUAUGCCACAGGUGUGGCC
ensembl:lncRNA